GCUGCUGAGUCGGGUUGCAGGAAGACAUCCUGGGAAUUACAUCACUGAUUUUAAUCUCUGCGUUCGCUGAUCAGAAGCCUCUCCAACCAGCGCGGUGCCCAUUUCUUCCAAAAAUUAUUUGGCAUCCUGAUUCAUCUGAUACGCAUUUUCCCUACGUGAUGGUCCCAGAUGCCUCCGAGCCCAGAGACGUCAACACCCCCUCUUGACGAACAAUUCCACUCCAGCUGAUGCCCAAGCUGAUGCUGUUUUUAGGCACCGCCGAAAGAAACCGGAAAACAGAGACG